AUCCUGUGAUUCUCUCAGCCUGCUGAAUUGCUGAACUCUGGCUGGCUCCUGUUGUUUUUGACCAGGAAUCCCAUCCCACUCCAGAGGUAAAUUUCCCACUUGGAACAUUUCUGCAACAUUGGGACAAAUGAGUAUAUCUGUGAAGAGGAUCCA